GAGAGAAAAGUGCAUCUAACAACUUGCCCUAAAUAACUGAAAACAUUUUUGUGCAGCACUUUUCUAAGCAUUUAGCAUUUUGAAGUUCAGAACAAAAGAAUCAAAGAGAAAAAGCUCUCAUGUACCAUGCAUUUCCCAACCAUCCGUAAGUGGAUCAAAAUUCCAACCCAGAUUUCUCUGAGCAUCAUGUGAAACAUAAUGUGUUUGGGUGUUUAAUGCUAACAAUAAAAUUGCACCACGGUGACAACCCACAUAGUCACUAAGUCAGUUGGAAAUAGAACAUAUUUGGAGAUAAUCCUAGUUUGGAAUUUGGCCAUCAGGCCACUUGGCUGCCUGACAGUGUGUCCUUUAGUGACCUUGGGCAAGCCAGCACUUUCUGUCUCCCUUUCCCUUUUCUAGCUUAACAUUGAGAAAAUUACUUUUCCCCUUCAGAAAGCUCAUGUGAGAAGUUGUAACCGAAGCAUUUAUGAAGCAUUUUGUAUCUCUUUCAUACAGGGGGCCUGAAGUUCAAAGCAGCUCUAUAUAUGCCCAGACAGGGACCCAUAAUUGCACUUGGUCUACACCAAGGGAUGAUUCUACCAUGUGUUACUGUUGAGAAAUGAAGGACUUGUAUUAAAAAUGCAUAAUUUAAUCAAGAGAAAACCACUAAUCAGUAGGAAAUAUGCAACCUUGAUGUUAUGGGACUUUUUAAUGUUCGUGUUAUUAGAGCUGCCGCAAUUUCUCAUGGAUCUAUUGAAAUGAAAAUUAAUGUAAAGGAGAGGUUUUAAAAGAUAAAAUGAGCUCAAACAUAAGGUCCUCAGGAGACUUUGGCACUCCUCUAGGGCAAAUACAGAAAAGCAAAGGCAACAUGACAGCAGUCAGGGCUGUCACUGUUCCUGCUCCCUGCUGAAAAGUACAAAUUUGCAAGUUUUGAAAGCCGAAAAGUCCAGUAUCAAGGCACCAGAAGAUUCAGUGUCUAUGAGGGCUGCUCUCUGCUUCCAAGAUGGUCCCUUGUUGCUGAGUCACCGGCUGGUAGAACGGGUGUCCAGCAGUGUUCUAGACCCUGGAAAUUUAGAGAUGAGUAAGACAGACCCAGCCUCAUUCUAUCCUCUGGGAUAA
rnacentral:lncRNA from 1 species